AUUGAACGCUGGCGGCAGGCCUAACACAUGCAAGUCGAACGAGUCGCGGACGGGUGAGAAACGUCUGGGAAACUGCCUGAUGGCGGGGGAUACCUACUGGAAACGGUAGCUAAUACCGCAUACCAUCAGAUGUGCCCUGAUGGGAUUAGCUAGUUGGUGGGGUAACGGCUCACAAAGGCGACGAUCCCUAGCUGAUAUGAGAGGAUGACCAGCCACACUGGAACUGAGACACGUGCCAGACUCCUACGGGAGGCAGCAGUUGGGAAUAUUGCGCAAUGGGCGCAAGCCUGAUGCAGCCAUGCCGCGUGUAUGAAGAAGGCCUUCGGGUUGUAAAAUACUUUCAUCGGGGAGGCGUUACCCGAAGAAGAAGCACCGGCUAACUCCGUGCCAGCAGCCGCGGUAAUAC
rnacentral:rRNA from 1 species